rnacentral:rRNA from 1 species
ACGAACGCUGGCGGCGCGCUUAACACAUGCAAGUCGAACGGAAAGGCCUGCUUUCCCUUGUGGAUUGCGGGUACUCGAGUGGCGAACGGGUGAGUAACACGUGAGUGAUCUGCCCCCAACUUGGGUAUAAGCCUGGGAAACUGGGUCUAAUUCCCGAUAGGACUGCAGGGUGGUGCCUGUGGUGGAAAACGAUUUUCUAGUGGUUGGGGAUGCGCUCGCGGCCUAUCAGCUUGUUGGUGGGGUAAUGGCCUACCAAGGCGGCGACGGGUAGCCGGCCUGAGAGGGUGGACGGCCACAUUGGGACUGAGAUACGGCCCAGACUCCUACGGGAGGCAGCAGUGGGGAAUAUUGCACAAUGGGCGGAAGCCUGAUGCAGCGACGCCGCGUGGGGGAUGACGGCCUUCGGGUUGUAAACUCCUUUCGACCGCGAGGAAGCCACCUGGUUGGAAGGGUGGUGACGGUAGUGGUAGAAGAAGCACCGGCUAACUACGUG